AGAGUUUGAUCAUGGCUCAGAACGAACGCUGGCGGCAGGCUUAACACAUGCAAGUCGAACGAGAAGCCGGACUUCGGUCUGGUGGAGAGUGGCGCACGGGUGAGUAACGCGUGGGGAUUUACCCAGCAGUACGGGAUAACAUCGGGAAACCGGUGCUAAUACCGCAUACGCCCUUCGGGGGAAAGAUUUAUCGCUGUUGGAUGAACCCGCGUAAGAUUAGAUAGUUGGUGGGGUAAUGGCCUACCAAGUCGACGAUCUUUAGCUGGUCUGAGAGGACGAUCAGCCACACUGGAACUGAGACACGGUCCAGACUCCUACGGGAGGCAGCAGUGGGGAAUAUUGGACAAUGGGCGCAAGCCUGAUCCAGCCAUGCCGCGUGAGUGAUGAAGGCCUUAGGGUUGUAAAGCUCUUUCAUCGGUGAAGAUAAUGACGGUAACCGAAGAAGAAGCCCCGGCUAACUCCGUGCCAGCAGCCGCGGUAAUACGGAGGGGGCUAG
rnacentral:rRNA from 1 species